CUCGCAGACAUGGCGGAGCGCAGCGCGGCCCGGGAAGCGGGGAGGGCUGCGCCGCGUUGAGGCCUAGAGCGGAGUGAUUCUGAGCUCGUGUACUCCACUUCUUCCAAACCAGUGACCAAGAGGUGAUCGCCUUGGGCAAUGAACUGUCAUUCACUGGAUUGUCAUUUACAUCUGGCAGUAGUCUCUUCUCACAGGUGACAGGUGACAGGACGAGGGGAAAUGGCCUCAAGUUGCAGCAGGCUUUGCUGAGUAAGAGGGUCACCCAGUUCUCUUUGCUGUUUGUCAUACGAGCUGAGGAAAGCACUUCCUUGGAAGUGAUUGUUUGGACAUAAAUCUCCAAGGCCCUUAUCUAAUGUUUAAACUUAUUUCUGGCAUGCAUAGUACAACUGAAAGCUGCACACUGUGCAAAUUAUCCAGCCGUCUCUCUUCUCCCUCUUCCUCCCCCCCUUCUUGGGAGAUUUCAUCAUGGAAAUAGCGAUGGUGCAAGAAAUCUACUUGUUUAAAAAUGUCUGACCAGAAAAAUAUUAUAUACAGAAUCCACUGUAUUGAAAAACUACUCUCUGAGAACAAUUUCCAAGAUAUCGAGGAUCAUCUUAAAGAGCUUGAAGAUGUCAGUAUGACUGUAGAAUAUCUUCAGGGGACUGAAGUUGCCAAGGUUGUAUACAGAAUACUCAAGAGCUGCCCUUCAGCAGAGCUGAAAAAGAAAGCAAAACAGCUAUUAUCAAGAUGGAAAGCACUUUACAAGAAUAACCGUCUUCAGUCAGUGCAAGUCAAGAAGUCAGUUUCUGUAUGUGUGAGCGAGGCAACUGAACAUCUUGAGAUUCCUGGAGAACAGUUGCUGUCUGAAGGACCUUGUCAGCAGGAAGUAUUAGAUGCUGUCCCUUCUAAAAUUUUGGUCCCACCACAAACUGUAAAAAAAGUGGCAAGUAACAAUGCAGACAGCAGCAGAGAUCAGCUUUCCCCUUUUGAGGAAGGACAUACUGAUAAUGAAGGUUCUAAACCUCUUGUUAACGAAGCAGGCUCGCAGCAGGAUCACAUGAGAGCUCUGAGGUGUAAAUGCACAGAUCUUCUUUAUAAAGCUUUGACUGGUUCUGCCAAAGACAAAGAAGAAACUGAUAAAUGGCUAGAGCUGUCUAAAGAAAUUGAAGAACAUGUUUUUGCUCUUCAUUGUAAAAACGACAAAAAGUAUAAAAAUUGCAUCAGAAGUAAAAUCUCUAACCUGAAGAACCCUAAAAGUUGCAACUUAAAACAUAACCUUUUUUCAGGGACUCUGAGUCCAAAGGCUUUUGCCGAGAUGACAGUGAUGGAAAUGGCCAGUGAUGAACUGAAACAGCUCAGGGCCCUGUACACAGAGUCCUCUAUUCAAGAGCAUCAGCUUCCACAAGUUAUUAAUGGCACACAGACAAACAAAAUAAAGUGUAGGCGCUGUGAAAAAUCUGACUGCACCGUCACUAUGAUUGCCAGAGGAACUCUCUUUCUUCCAGGCUGGGUGCGAAGCACAAAUCCCGAUGAACAAAUGUUGACCUUUGUUAUUUGUAAUGAAUGCGGAGAACAAUGGUAUCACAGCAGAUGGAUUUGUUUGUAAUGCUCACUCACUUUAAGAAGUCAUUGAAAAACACAGAUAAGAGAAGGUGUCUCUUGAAACUGUAUAGUGUAAAAUGGGAUAUUGAUACUAUAUAGACACAAAUAAAAAUUGCAAAAGCACUUCUAAAAAAUGCUAAGUUGUUUUUGAAGAUCUGAAUUUUUUUAAGUGGUAUGGUUAUGUGUUUUAAAAAAAAAGGUCCUGUUUAGCAAACUUAAUUUUCUUGUAUGAGAAGAACACCCAUCUAGUUGACGAAGGGAAGCCAUCUGAUGAUAUCCUUUUCAAUUUCAUUGAAGCUUUCAAUACUGUUUCUCACAAAAUGCUUCUGAACAAAAUGCCCAGCAUACAGUUAAACAGGAACAUAAAGUGAUGUGUGAGCAGUUGGCUGAUGGGAUGGGCCCAAAGGGUUACAGUAAAUGUGGCUACAUCAGGAUGGUAGCUGCACACUAGUGGAGUUCCCCAGGGCUCCAUUUUAGAUCCAGUUGUCUUUAAUGUUUUAAUAAAUUACUUGUAUGUAGGACUAGGAGGUGUUUUGAGCAAGUUUGCUGACAACACUAAAUUGGGAAGAGCUGCUGACUCCGUUGAGGGUGGAGAGGCCUUGCAGAGAGAUUUUGAUAAAUUAGAGGGCUGGGCAGUCACCAACGAGAACAAGUGCUAGAUUCUGCACGUGGGAAAGUGCUGCCCUAGGGUAUAUGUACAGACUGCUGAACUAGAGGGUGGAAAGCAGCCCCAUGGAAAGGAAUCCGGGAGGUUCAGGUUGAUGGCAAGUUGAACGUGAACCAGCAGUGUGCCCAGGCAGCCCAAAGGGCCAACCGUACCCUGGGGUGCACAAGGUCUGGUAAUGCUGGGCAAGGAGAGGGUUUGUCCCACUCUGCUCUGCGCUGUGCGGCCUCACCUCCUGCACUGGGUGCAAGUUUGGGUGCCACAAUAUGAGAAGGACAUGAAACUAUUAGAGAGCCUCCAAAGGAGGGCAAUGAAGCUUGUGUAGAGUCCGGAGGGUAAGAUGUAUGAGGAGUGACUGAGGUCUCUUGGUUGGCUCAGUGCAGAGCAGAGGAGCUGAGGGGAGGCUUCAUGGUGGCUGCAGCUCCUCACAGGGAGCAGAGGACUCCGGUGGCAGCAACGGGGCCUGAGGGAACGGCAUGGAGCUGUGUCAGGGGAGGGGCAGCUGGGGGUUAGGGACAGGGGCUGCACUGGAGGGUGGUGGGCAUAGAACGGGCUGCCCAGGGCAGUUAAUAUUUGUUAAUAUUUGCACCCUCAGGAUUGCAAACUCACCGUCUUUAAGUAGUUUUCUGUGGUAAUCCAAUGCAAGCAGGCAUUCUUCCAUUUCCUUCCCUCUCAGUCACAAUCAAACCUGAUAACAGUUUUUAACUGUAUUUGUUACAAAGCUAGACAUCAAAAGAUUGGAAUAUAUUUGUAAAUUUUGUGAAACUCAGUAGUCAUUAAUAGAAUUUCUCUUCCUCUUAGAAAAGCUGGAGUCCUUUGCUUUACCAAGGAGUUACUUGUUCUGUUUAAACUGCUAUAACACAUCUAGCUGCUAGGUUUUUGAUACUACCUUAAAGCCAGGCACAAAAUAAUUCUGCUUCUUGCCUAGACUGCAAUCUGGGUCAAGGAGGAGGCCUGGAAGUACUGGUGGAAAGGAAUAGAAAACACCGGGAGGCAGGGAGAAUGAGGAGAGCCGGUUGUAAUUACAUUAUAUAAAUAUAUAGGAAACAAGGCCUUGCUUAUUCCAGCGUUGGUGGAAAAAACUUGUCUAGGUUCAGUUUCACACCUAGUUCAUGUUGAUAAGUGUGUGAAAAUCUAGCAUUUAGCAGUUGGAGAAACUGAAUAUGAAAUCACAAGUUAUUUUAUUACUUUCUUGAUCAUCUCACACCAUCAGUUAUUUUCACCUAACACAGUUCAUUACCACUUCAUUUUUUCCAUCUGUGAUUACAUCCACUCCUCGUGAGUGAAAAGGUUUGGUACAAAACAGGUGUCCUGUGGUGUCAUGUGCUGCUAUGUAUCAGUACUCUGCAGACGUGCAAGUGCCAGAUGUGAGAGGCAAUCAUUCAGGCAAGUCAUGCAGACUUUGCUCUUAUUUGAAAAGGUGCGGUCUCAGUUUCACUAUGCAAAGUACUGUUCCAGGCUGCAGUCUGUCAAUAGGUUAUAUUGUCUCUACCUAGACUGUGUAACUGCACAGGCUUAAUAUGUUUGCCUGGAUAAGAUUGUGUGUUUUGGCUCAAAUUGGCUCUGAAGAGCCAACCUGCAACCACACAGCGUGUGCACCAGCAUGAGCGCAGAGAUUACUGGAGUACGGGGAAUGUCAGAAUCCCAAAACAAGAAUUAAAAGGAAGCUUUGAAAAGUGAGAUUCUUUUAUGUUGUUGAGAUCUUCUAGGUUUGUUCCUGAUUAUGGGAAAUAAAAUCUCUCAACUUCUUGGAGCAGGGACUAUUGCUUUUCAUCUGAUUUUUAGGUAUAUCCACGAUGCUCCUCCACAAAGGGGCAUGGCAUUGGGGGGAAUCCAAACAGACAAAUAUAUGCAGAAUAAGGCAGAAGCAUGUGCUUGUGCUUGUUGUUGUUGUUGUUUAAAUCAUUAUUUUUAUUUUUUAUUUGUUUGUGUUCCCAGAAAUACUGUUAAGUACAGCUACUUCCUUUAUCUUAUGAGUAGUAGCAAUAAGGUAUUAAAUACAGAUUGCCAUCAAAGUUUAAGUAACAUGUACCUGCAAGACUUUUGUCUCUCAAAAAGUCUAGAGCUAAAUUAACAAUGAAAUUCACACAUUUUUCAAUGCAAAAGCAAAGAUAUUCUGAGAAGUAUUAUCCUGAUCAGAGUUGAUGAAUGGGAGUUAAUAGCUGCUUUCAUGUCAGCACUCCUCAUUCCUGGAGAUCCCCUGCAGUUAACUCUGUCCUGCUGAGGGCCUUUGGUUUUUCUCUCAACCAUUUUCCUGUAGCACAUUGCUCUACUGCCAUUUGUUGUUUAGAACUCUUCCUUCCUUUCCAAGACAAAAGGGAAAGUGCACUUUUGUUGUUUAUUUCAUUUCAGUCUGCCGUGGUACAUACAAAAGGAAAGGUGGGAAGUUUAGUUUUCUCUUUCUUUCUUUCUUUCUUUCUUUCUUUCUUUCUUUCUUUCUUUCUUUCUUUCUUUCUUUCCUUCUUUCCUUCUUUCCUUCUUUCCUUCUUUCCUUCUUUCCUUCUUUCCUUCUUUCCUUCUUUCUCCUUCUUCUUCUUCUUUUUUUCCUUGCUAGCAAGAAGAGGUUAGCUACUCAUUGGUAACUGUUGAUAAGGAACAAAAAUUACGAUCCUUCAGGGAGCAUGCAGGGUAUAAUGGCCCAGGUCCUGGGAGAUAAGGAGCACUUUGAUACUUGCUGGGGGGGACUGGCUUGCCACAGUGUGGUAUUAGCAGAGCAAUAAAGGCAGCUGACUUCAUAUCCCCUUAUUUUUUAUUGCUGUGAUUCAGACAGGAGGUGACAGAGUCAUGUUUUAUUGAGGCAAGGUCAGCACUUUUCAGGAUGGGACAAAGUCUCCUUGCCAGUUACAGAUGGUAAAAGGCAUCAUUCACGAGCUGUGCUGCACGAGGGCUUUGCUGAUGCAGAACGUUCCCUUGAAUGAAAACCCCCACUGUCCUCUGCUUGAUGUUCUGCUGUUGAUUAAACGUGGCAUAAAACCAACCUCGUUCUGCUCACAGGGCCAGCAGUGCAGGGUGCGUGGAUGGAGACCUCAGGAAGAGGGCCCACAGCAUCCUGCCAAGGGAGGCCCAGCCAGUGGCGUCAGCCAGCCCACGGGGACAGGCCAUGCCAAAACCAAGCCAGGGCCAUGGGUCUGGGGUAGAGGCCAGGCCUGUGGUGCCAUUAUGGAGUGAUGUUUCUGUCCGGAUCUGAAAUCAGAGUGAUUUCAGUGUGAACUGGCCACACAACAUCUCAGACGGUCAUUUCCUUCAUUCUGCUGCUGAGGUGUGACAGGCCUACCUUCUUUGAACGGCCUCAUCACCUCAAAAAAAUAAAGUGGCCUCAAAAAUGGCCUCAAAAAAAAAUAUAAAUAAAUAAAGAUGGUAGCUGCAUCCCCAGAAGAUAAAAACUAUUUCCUCCACUUCCAAAAGCUGAAUUUUUGUUUUUGUUUUUCCUUUUAAAAUCACAAGACAAUGAUCAGAACUCGUAUCUUAGAAUUGUCCUUUACAGAUGCCAUUUUCUGCCCGCCCAGCGCUUCCCUGUGGUUUAUUUCAGCCCCGGAUGAAAGCAGGUCCUGGGAAACAAGUCCUUAAACGUUUUCAAAGCCCAGCUUUGUUCAGUAAGAAUGCUUGUAGUGUCAUCACAUUUGCCUUCAGCCUGGGUGCUGCUGUCAGUGGGAGGCAUUUCCCUCCGAUAACACGGAGAUCUUGUUUUCCAUUCCUUAGUACAUCUGAUCCAAACCCCAGAUGACUGUGCAAGCGGCAGAUCCAGUCCGAUUGCCUCACCCUGGUGAUCAAAAGCAUGUGACAGCUGCUGGAGCAAAGUGGUGUUUCGAAGGCUCAUCCCUUAAGCCUAUAAUCACCCAUUCCUCUUGAUGGUGUGGGGACCCCUUUAAAUACACUGAAACACAUUUCUGCUCCUUUCGCGAUUUGCCCCCAUCCUUGCAACACGGUGUAAGAGCUUAAAAAUAUACUCUAUCGCCGCUUUCUUUAGAUUUCUUUUCCGCAGUCAUGUUCGCAAACAGCCACGCGGGCUUCACCCUCAGCGGCCCCACGGACAGGUGCCUCCCCACACACCGCCCCACAGCAGUGCCCACCCCCGCUGACAGAGCUCAGCGUAGCGGAUGGCGCCACCGCCCCGCUCUGCCCAUGUGGGAGGAGGACCCCUCCCCUCUCCUGCCGGGGGCAGAGCCGAGCGGGGCUCACGUGACCGGCCCGCCCCCUGCCUGCUCCGCCAUGUUGUUUCUCCCUUCCCUCAGCGCCCGGCGGCGGCGCAGCUGGGCCUCGGCGCUGGCGGCAGCUCCUGUACGCGGGCAGAUGCUGAAUGAUGAUUUAAACUGAACGGCCAAGGUCUAGGAAACAAGGAGGGUCUAUUCCCGUAACAAUGGCAGCAAAAUCAUCACUCCUUAAAGUAAUACUGCUAGGAGAUGGUGGAGUUGGGAAGAGUUCCCUGAUGAAUAGAUAUGUCACCAACAAGUUUGAUGCACAGCUUUUUCAUACAAUAGGUGUGGAAUUCUUAAACAAAGAUUUGGAAGUGGAUGGACACUUUGUCACUCUGCAGAUCUGGGACACAGCAGGUCAGGAACGUUUUAGGAGCCUGCGGACUCCUUUCUACAGAGGUUCUGACUGUUGCCUGCUUACCUUCAGCGUGGAUGACUCUCAAAGCUUUCAAAACUUAAGCAACUGGAAGAAAGAAUUCAUUUAUUACGCAGAUGUCAAGGAGCCUGAAAGCUUUCCAUUUGUGAUAUUGGGUAACAAAGUUGAUAUAAAUGAGAGGCAAGUGUCUACGGAAGAAGCCCAAGACUGGUGCAGGAAUAAUGGUAAUCAUCCCUAUUUUGAAACCAGUGCAAAAGAUGCCACUAACGUUGCAGCAGCCUUUGAAGAAGCUGUUAGAAGAGUUCUAGCCUCUGAAGAUAGAUCGGAUCAUUUUAUUCAAACAGAUACAGUAAACCUCCAUCGGAAACCGAAACCUAGUUCGUCUUGUUGUUGACUUUUUUUUCUUUUCUGCCAAAUUACUUUCAACUAGCUUACUCUGUAAGGCGAUGGGAAAGAUGUAGACAAAAUAACAAAUGGGUUUUGCUCUAAUACUGAAGUUGUAAUACUCUGCUGCUUUCCUGGGGGAGCAAAACAGCUUUCCGUUCACGAGUGACCCAUCAUUGAAUUAGUGAUGCUUCCUAUCUAGGAAGGUGUCAAGUAAAAAUGUUAAUAUAAGAAUGUAAUUUGCCAACUCUAAAUGAUAAAUACUUUGAAUAUAAUUAAAACUUGAAGUUCUAGAAGCACUACUUCGGGGAAACUGUUCUGGAAUUCAGAUACAAAGAAACUUUUAUAUGUAUAUAUAUUUUUAUGAAAUUAGCAUUCCAUUUUGUUUCAGUAGAACUCAGUUUCUUAACAGCGCUGGAUAUUAAACUAUAGUCUCACUGCAUUCCUUUUGAUGUGAGUGGUACUUCAUCUCUAAUGCAUUUACUACAAGUUAACAUAAAUUGCCUUCAAGUUUUCUGUAAUUGCUAUAAUUUGUGUACAUUUUUCAGUAGGAAAUGAAUUUCCUACAUAUUUAAUGUCCAUCUUCCUUUCGUUUACUAUUCUAAUGCCAUAUGAAUUUCUCCAGCAGUUCAAUGCAAAAUGUGAUUAUUUUUUUUUAAUUUUUUUUUAAUACAUGUCUUCCCUUUCUGUCCCAUUCUGGCAUGUUUCUGAUCAAUAGAGUUUAAAAAAAAAGUAUCUGGAUAAACAAAGUAUUUUUCAUAACUGAAAAUCGUUAUAUGUACUUUAUUCAGUCAGCUUUAGUAACACCUGGAAAUUUGCCAUAAUGUGGAUCCCUUCAAGAAAGCUUUUAGUAUACAGCCUUAAAGUUCUGACCUUAUUGUUACUGUUCACCUGAGCUAUGAAUGUGUUUGUGAUCUCUGUACUGUGAAACUAAGGAUUUGCAAUACAUAGGGAACUCAGGAAGCUCUUGACUUAGCAGGUAGUGAUAGCUUUCCACUCUAGUAUGAGUAGAUACCUGUAACUAAUGUUUGAGCCAAAUUUGAUGCUUAUUUAAUAUGCCAUCGUAGGGUAGAGACUUAAACUUUGGUAUUACUGUACUCAUUAACUGACAGUGAACAGAAACAAGUUCCGUGUGUAAUGGGUAAUCUAUCUGCAGUGUUGCAGAUGAAGCCACAGGAUGUGUAUUUGAAGCUCUCCACUGCUGUCCCACGGUAGAAUACUUGUAUGAGAAGUUCUUGAAAGCUGUCUCUCAGAGUACUCACUAUCCUUUUAAUAGCAAACUUGAUAAUGCACUAUUGCUUCAAUGUGUAACCUGACUACAAGCAUGCCUGUUAGUGUACACAUUGUAGACCUCAGAAGGAAAUCGAAGGCCUACAGGACGGGCCAUGUUUUUCACUAAAUUAUGCCGACUCUGCUUUCUGUACUGCAACCUUUUGUUGUAAUAGAGAAGCUUUUCUUGAUAGUACAGUAACAGCACGAGUCUUCUCCUAACGUGUUUGCUUUGUACCGGAUGUUAUUUAGAAGUAAAGCUUGCAAAACAAA